AUACGUAGGGAGCGAGCGUUACCCGGAAUUACUGGGCGUAAAGUGCGCGUAGGCGGAUUAGUCAGUUGGGGGUGAAAGCCCGGAGCUCAACUCCGGAAUUGCCUUCAAUACUGCUAGUCUUGAGUCCGAGAGAGGGUGGUGGAAUUCCCAGUGUAGAGGUGAAAUUCGUAGAUAUUGGGAAGAACACCAGUGGCGAAGGCGGCCACCUGGCUCGGUACUGACGCUGAGGUGCGAAAGCGUGGGGAGCAAACAGGAUUAGAAACCCGGGUAGUCC
rnacentral:rRNA from 1 species